AAGGAAAAAACUACCAGCCCUCCUCGCCUCCCCCACGACGCCCUCCUGGGCAGGGCACGCGCGCCUCCGCGCUCGGCCGCCGCCCCUCCGCGCUCUCCCGCCGCCGCCACGCGCCUGGGUGGCCACUGAGGCUCCCGGCCUCCUGGUCAACCAGCACGGAGCCGAUGCAUCGACACCAACGCGGGAUCCGUCCGCCCUCCUCGCUCGCUAUUUGACGCUGCCAUGCAUAGACGGAGGUGGUGCUGCGGCAUGCGAUCCGAUGUCGAGAUCACGGGAGAAUUGCUGCUGCUGAUCCCUACCUCCACCCCCAAACCACACCCGUCCAUGGUCGCCGAGGCCAGUCGCAUCAUGGCACGGUGAUUUCAGAAGUACGGUCAAAUGGAAGGCUGGAGGAAGAUUUUUGAUAUGGCAAAGGCAUCAGUAAGGACAUGAGACAAGAGUGAUGACAAUGGAAAAUGUAUGAAUAUGCAGCCUUCAUAGUAAAAAGGUAAAACAGUACUUUCAUUUUGUUUGUUUUGCUCUAGAUAUAUGUGACAAUUGGUCAUAUAUAUGCAGGCCUGACUUGUUUCUUCGAAGGGGACAAAUUUGUCCAAUAUAUGCAGGUCUGACUUGUUUCUUCAAAGGGGACAAAGUUGUCCUCUUCAUAAUACUCAAGG